UACGGUGAGGUAGUUCAUUAGUGGCAGGUAAAGCUGAUAACUUGUAGUUGCGUUGGCCAUCAUCUACACGGUGAGGUAGUUCAGCCACAGGUGAAACUGAUGACUUGUAGUUGCGUUGACCAGCAUCCGUACGGUGAGGUAGUUCAUUAGUGGCAGGUAAAGCUGAUAACUUGUAGUUGCGUUGACCAUCAUCUACACGGUGAGGUAGUUCAGCCACAGGUGAAACUGAUGACUUGUAGUUGCGUUGACCAGCAUCCGUANGGUGAGGUAGUUCAUUAGUGGCAGGUAAAGCUGAUAACUUGUAGUUGCGUUGACCAUCAUCUACACGGUGAGAUAGUUCAGCCAUAGGUGAAACUGAUGACUUGUAGUUGCGUUGACCAGCAUCCGUANGGUGAGGUAGUUCAUUAGUGGCAGGUAAAGCUGAUAACUUGUAGUUGCGUUGNCCAUCAUCUACACGGUGAGNUAGUUCAGCCANAGGUGAAACUGAUGACUUGUAGUUGCGUUGACCAGCAUCCGUACGGUGAGGUAGUUCAUUAGUGGCAGGUAAAGCUGAUAACUUGUAGUUGCGUUGGCCAUCAUCUACACGGUGAGGUAGUUCAGCCACAGGUGAAACUGAUGACUUGUAGUUGCGUUGACCAGCAUCCGUACGGUGAGGUAGUUCAUUAGUGGCAGGUAAAGCUGAUAACUUGUAGUUGCGUUGGCCAUCAUCUACACGGUGAG
rnacentral:lncRNA from 1 species